rnacentral:rRNA from 1 species
GAUCAUGGCUCAGGAUGAACGCUGGCGGCGUGCUUAACACAUGCAAGUCGAACGAAGCACUCUAUUUGAUUUUCUUCGGAAAUGAAGGUUUUUGUGACUGAGUGGCGGACGGGUGAGUAACGCGUGGGUAACCUGCCCCAUACAGGGGGAUAACAGUUAGAAAUGACUGCUAAUACCGCAUAAGACCACGGAGCCGCAUGGCUCAGUGGGAAAAACUCCGGUGGUAUGAGAUGGACCCGCGU